rnacentral:rRNA from 1 species
CCCUUAGAUGUCCUGGGCCGCACGCGCGCUACACGGAUGCAUUCAACGAGUUUUACCUUGGCCGAGAGGCCUGGGCAAUCUUUUAAACCUGCAUCGUGAUAGGGAUAGAUUAUUGCAAUUUUUAAUCUUGAACGAGGAAUUCCUAGUAAACGCAAAUCAUCAAUUUGCAUUGAUUACGUCCCUGCCCUUUGUACACACCGCCCGUCGCACCUACCGAUUGAAUGGUCCGGUGAAGCCUCGGGAUUGUGGCCAGUUCACUUUAUUGGGAGUUGGCUGUGAGAACUUGUCUAAACCUUAUCAUUUAGAGGAAGGUGAAGUCGUAACA